rnacentral:rRNA from 1 species
GCACAACGCGAAGAACCUUACCAGGGCUUGACAUCCAGAGAAUCCUGUGGAAACACGGGAGUGUCCCUUCGGGGAAACUUUGAGACAGGUGGUGCAUGGUUGUCGUCAGCUCGUGUCGUGAGAUGUUGGGUUAAGUCCCGUAACGAGCGCAACCCUUGUCCUUAGUUACCAGCACGUUAUGGUGGGCACUCUAAGGAGACUGCCGGUGACAAACCGGAGGAAGGUGGGGAUGACGUCAAGUCAUCAUGGCCCUUACGGCCUGGGCUACACACGUGCUACAAUGGUCGGUACAGAGGGUUGCCAAGCCGCGAGGCGGAGCUAAUCUCACAAAACCGAUCGUAGUCCGGAUCGCAGUCUGCAACUCGACUGCGUGAAGUCGGAAUCGCUAGUAAUCGCGAAUCAGAAUGUCGCGGUGAAUACGUUCCCGGGUCUUGUACACACCG